AAGGGUAUAUCUCAGAGGUUGAGCGCAUGCUUAGCACGCAUGAGGUCUUGGGUUCAAUCCCCAGCACCUCCA
rnacentral:tRNA from 1 species